GUGGGGAAUAUUGGACAAUGGGCGAAAGCCUGAUCCAGCAAUGCCGCGUGAGUGAAGAAGGCCUUCGGGUUGUAAAGCUCUUUUACCCGGGAAGAUAAUGACUGUACCGGGAGAAUAAGCCCCGGCUAACUCCGUGCCAGCAGCCGCGGUAAUACGGAGGGGGCUAGCGUUGUUCGGAAUUACUGGGCGUAAAGCGCACGUAGGCGGUCUUUUAAGUCAGAGGUGAAAGCCCGGGGCUCAACUCCGGAAUUGCCUUUGAGAGUGGAAGACUUGAACACGGGAGAGGUGAGUGGAAUUCCGAGUGUAGAGGUGAAAUUCGUAGAUAUUCGGAGGAACACCAGUGGCGAAGGCGGCUCACUGGACCGUUGUUGACGCUGAGGUGCGAAAGCGUGGGGAGCAAACAGGAUUAGAAACCCUAGUAGUCC
rnacentral:rRNA from 1 species